AUUGAACGCUGGCGGCAGGCUUAACACAUGCAAGUCGAGCGGGGAAGGGUAGCUUGCUACCUGACCUAGCGGCGGACGGGUGAGUAAUGCUUAGGAAUCUGCCUAUUAGUGGGGGACAACAUUCCGAAAGGAAUGCUAAUACCGCAUACGCCCUACGGGGGAAAGCAGGGGAUCUUCGGACCUUGCGCUAAUAGAUGAGCCUAAGUCAGAUUAGCUAGUUGGGGGGGUAAAGGCCUACCAAGGCGACGAUCUGUAGCGGGUCUGAGAGGAUGAUCCGACACACUGGGACUGAGACACGGCCCAGACUCCUGCGGGAGGCAGCAGUGGGGAAUAUUGGACAAGGGGCGAAAGCCUGAUCCAGCCAUGCCGCGUGUGUGAAGAAGGCCUUUUGGUUGUAAAGCACUUUAAGCGAGGAGGAGGCUACUUGGAUUAAUACUCUAGGAUAGUGGACGUUACUCGCAGAAUAAGCACCGGCUAACUCUGUGCCAGCAGCCGCCGUAACAC
rnacentral:rRNA from 1 species